GACGAACGCUGGCGGCGUGCCUAAUACAUGCAAGUAGAACGCUGAAGGAGGAGCUUGCUCUUCUGGAUGAGUUGCGAACGGGUGAGUAACGCGUAGGUAACCUGCCUUGUAGCGGGGGAUAACUAUUGGAAACGAUAGCUAAUACCGCAUAAGAGUAGAUGUUGCAUGACAUGUACUUAAAAGGUGCAAUUGCAUCACUACCAGAUGGACCUGCGUUGUAUUAGCUAGGUGGUGGGGUAACGGCGUACCAAGGCGACGAUACAUAGCCGACCGGAGAGGGUGAUCGGCCGCCCUGGGACUGAGACACGGCCCAGACGCCUACGGGAGGCAGCAGGAGGGAAUCUUCGGCAAUGGACGGAAGUCUGACCGAGCAACGCCGCGUGAGGGAAGAAGGUUUUCGGAUCGUAAAGCUCUGUUGUAAGAGAAGAAAGAGUGUGAGAGUGGAAAGUUCACACUGUGACGGUAUCUUACCAGAAAGGGACGGCUAACUACGUG
rnacentral:rRNA from 1 species